GCGGUUUGUAAGCUCAAAAUGGAGGGGAGAAACGGUUUUGUUACAAUGACUGUGUUUAUGAUUUUUGGAAAUAUUACAGGCUUGAGUAUGAAUAACGUAUGCUCGACGAAUGAUAAUACAUGUAAAACACCAAGCAUUUCCGGCGUAGGACUGCAAAAGUGGGGUAAAUGCUCUAAAACAGGGGUUCUUUUGAGAUUCCAGGAAAAGACACUUCUUGAAUUUGGACAGGAAUGUCUAUUAACGGCAGAAUGCACAUCUAUUAAUUACAGAUCAAGCAAAAAUUUAUGUGACAUUGUAAGCUCUACUUCCGGUGACAACGACACAGAUAACGACACAACAUGUUUCAACAGCGACAUAU
rnacentral:lncRNA from 1 species